rnacentral:rRNA from 1 species
AGGACGAACGCUGGCGGCGUGCUUAACACAUGCAAGUCGAACGGAAAGGCCCGCUUGCGGGUACUCGAGUGGCGAACGGGUGAGUAACACGUGGGCAACCUGCCCUCAGCUUUGGGAUAACACAAAGAAAUUUGUGCUAAUACCGAAUAUUGAAGCGACCGGGCAUCUGGUUGUUUUGAAAGUUUUUCGGCUGGGGAUGGGCCCGCGGCCUAUCAGCUUGUUGGUGGGGUAAUGGCCUACCAAGGCGACGACGGGUA